UGUGAGUUGAACACUUCAUGACUGAGAGCUGUUCUUCAUGACAACAGAACCCACAACAACCAUGACUUUUAUCAUCUUCAUCUGGACACUUGCUUGCUGCUUUCAAGAAUCCAGAGGACAGUACACUGUGACUCAGACUCCUGCUGUGAAAGCUGUUCUCCCAGGACAGUCAAUCUCUCUGAACUGUAAAACCAGCAGUAAUGUGCAUGGAAAUAACCAUCUAGCCUGGUAUCAACAUAAACCUGGAGGAGCUCCUAAACUCCUCAUUUACUAUACAAGCACCGUUCAAUCUGGGACUCCAUCUAGAUUCAGUGGCAGUGGAUCUCAUAGUGACUUCACUCUGACCAUCAGUGGAGUCCAGGCUGAAGAUGCAGGAGAUUACUACUGUCAGAGUUACCACAAUCCCUAUGUGUGGACUUUUGGAAGCGGCACCAGACUAGAUGUUGGAAGCAACAGUGCCCCCACCCUCACCAUCCUGCCCCCCUCUAGUGAGGAGCUGUCCAGUACAACAAUAGCCACACUGAUGUGUCUGGCCAACAAGGGCUUCCCCUCAGACUGGACCAUGAGCUGGAAAGUGGAUGGGACCAGCAAAAAGCAGGACACCAGUCCCGGGGUCCUGGAGAAGGAUGGUCUGUACAGCUGGAGCAGCACCCUGACUCUCACUGCCCAGGAGUGGACCAAUGCAGGAGAGGUGACCUGUGAAGCCCAGCAGAAAUCCCAGACUCCAGUCACCAAGACCCUGAGGAAGGCUGACUGUUCUGGGUAGGACCCACCAGUCACACACCCCUGUGGAGAGAGAUUGCUGGUUCCUCUGCUUUGACUUGCUUCAUUCUCUGAUUUAGUGAUCACUCUCGUAUAGACUAACAGGGGGCUUGGCUUGAGUUCAUGUGUCAAUCCAUUCUGUAGACUGAGAUUUUGUUAGAUUUAGAUUUGAUGUGAUGUGUUUUAUUCACUAUCAUGUUUGCUUUGAUGCUUCAAUUAUGUAAUAAUGGAUUCAAAUAAAGAUGUAUUUUUGCAAUGCA